GACCUCGGAUCAGGUAGGGAUACCCGCUGAACUUAAGCAUAUCAAUAAGCGGAGGAAAAGAAACCAACAGGGAUUGCCUCAGUAACGGCGAGUGAAGCGGCAACAGCUCAAAUUUGAAAUCUGGCCCUUGGGUCCGAGUUGUAAUUUGCAGAGGAUGUUUCGGGCGUGGUCCGGUCUAAGUUCCUUGGAAUAGGACGUCAUAGAGGGUGAGAAUCCCGUAUGCGACUGGGUGCCUAAGCUCAUGCGAAACUCCUUCGACGAGUCGAGUUGUUUGGGAAUGCAGCUCUAAAUGGGUGGUAAAUUUCAUCUAAAGCUAAAUAUUGGCCAGAGACCGAUAGCGCACAAGUAGAGUGAUCGAAAGAUGAAAAGCACUUUGGAAAGAGAGUUAAAUAGCACGUGAAAUUGUUGAAAGGGAAGCGCUUGCAAUCAG
rnacentral:rRNA from 1 species